AGAAUCAACGCUGGCGGCGUGCCUAACACAUGCAAGUCGAUCGAGAAAGUGGAGCAAUCCAUGAGUAAAGAGGCGCACGGGUGAGUAACACGUGACUAACCUACCCUCGAGUGGGAAUAACCUGGGGAAACCCGGGCUAAUACCGCAUAAUACCCACGGGUCAAAGGAGCAAUUCGCUUGAGGAGGGGUCGCGGCAGAUUAGUUAGUUGGCGGGGUAAUGGCCCACCAAGACGAUGAUCUGUAU
rnacentral:rRNA from 1 species